GUCACCAGUUCUGGAUUUUACCAGGCAACAGUAAUGGAGUGACCUAGAGGAUCUUCUCUCUAAUGUUAGCUCUCUGUGGAGACAGUCACUCAACCAAAUCCCCAACCGGAUUAAAGGUUGGUGUAGACCAUGGAUUUCUCUUGCAGUCAGACAAAGGCUAUUUUGAUUCCACCAUCUUAGAUCUCCUCCCAGAGCAGCAAUCUCUUAAAAGAGUCCUGAAGAAACUGGGAUUUAUGAUCUUGCAAGUCACAGACUUGGUCUUGGAAUCCCUGAUGGAGAAGCUUCCAACUCUUCCACAGAGUCAUCACCCUGGAGAACGGAGCCCAGAGCAGCUGGCAGCUGACAAAGGAACUCACUCCAUGGCCAAAAAUGGAGAACCAGCCAGUUUUUGACAGAACACUGGUUGUACCAAUACUAUGAGCCUCUUCUCCAUGAACUACUUCUAGAGCAUAGAGGCUAGACAUUAAGUAAAGUCUUCUGAUCAGUAAGAAUCACUGUAGAAUAGUGAAACAAGCAAGGCCUUUACAUGACACUGUGGUUUGAAUCCUACCUUCUCCAUUAGCAAUUUAUUUUUUGACAUGAUAGGCCUUUCGACUUUAUGAAUAACACAUUCUGGGGUUGAAACUUAGAGGUUAUUCCAAGGAUUAUUGGGAGAAAUAACUAAGUUAAUGUGGAAAUAUCCAAAACUGAAUGGGAACUCCAGAAAUCCAGUCAUCUCCACAGACUCACUUCCUCUGAUAGGCCCUCAAGUAAUGAAAUUCAAGACAGAUAAUGACCUAUUUUGUAAGAGAGCAAAUUAAAUUAUGAAAGGAUUCACGACGUGUUGUUGAAGUAACUGAGAAUGUCUGAGCAGGAGAGAAGAAGAUGAGUUAAAAGUAGCCAUUACUACUACCCAUCCUGGAAGAAAGUUUUCCCCCAAAUGCAGGACUAAGCAUAAUACCAGUGUGUCGAAGGCACAGAGAAGAGAGAGCAAUUCAGCAUUCUCAACAGGCAGAAUUUCCCAAAGAGAACAGCUGAGACAUUGAAAAGCACUUGACGCUGACAUCGGACACUGAAAAGCAAAACCCCUCGAUUUGGGAGUCUCUAAUUCCAUUCUUCUCUUCAAGCCAAGCAGCUACACUGAGCUUGAUCCAUGAGAAAUCUCACCACUGUGGCUGAGCACAUGCUUCAGAGAGCACCUGAGCUGACAUCACUCCCCUGCCCUUUCUCAGAUUCUAUUUUCUUACUCGUCUAGGGACUGUGGGCCUGAUUGUUCUAAUCCAAAUGGAUGUCCAACACUAAACACAUUCUCUUCCCUUCUCUCUCUUUAACCCAACCCUCAAUUUCUCUGGGUUCCAUGGCCACUAACUAACCUCACAGAACUAAAGAGAAAUGGCGCAGUCAUAAGUGAGCAGUCACCUUCUCCCUCCUCCCAGUCCUCUGGGAGUCUCUGAAGUCUCUGUCCCCACUGACAC